GACCCUGGGCUAGCAGGCCCCAGGGAGAACUCCAAUGGAGUCUGUGUCAGCACGCUCACAGCAGGCCACAAUGGCCGCUGCCAAUGUCCCAGUCCCUGGAGAGGUCUCACCCCCCACCGAGAUGCACUCAGGGCCUAUUAGACUAUUUGAUGACAUAGAAGACAACUCUUCUGAUUCUCAGAUGUGCGAUGACAAUGCAGUGUGAGUCUCCAAUCUGCUUGCAGCCCAUGAUCCACCCUGCUGAGUGAGCUCUCUGAUUGCCUCUUUGACGACAUUUUAUUGUUGAUCACAAUUUAAGGCAGCGUAUUAUUAAUUUCUUUGCCUUGGAACACAUUGUUCUUGCUUGGGAAGCAACUUCAUCUCAGCCAUUUGCCUUCUUGAAAUCAUCCUGUUCUUGAGCUUCUCUCUUCUCCCUGAAAGAUAAAUUUGAUUCAAGAUCAGUAGCCUAUGGCAAUUUCGCUGAGAUGAAGGAAGAUGAAAAUAGAAAGAUGCAAAAUUGAACUGACAAUACUGUGUGGAAAUUUUGUGACGUACAGUCACUAAGUCCUCUAUCUGCUGAAUUUCAUAAACAGCUCACAGAAGAGGUGUACGAUAGAAGACAAGCAACAGUGAUUCAUUGGUUGAUUAUUUAACUUGCAUUUUAUAAUGUAACAUUUAAACACCUAUUUUAAGAGACUUCACUUCAGAAUAUUUUUAGUAUAGGUAAAACAAAUCUGUAUUGAAGAAGAUAUUAAAUACAAAUGUAUAGCAUUCCUAA